CCUUGAAAUGCUUACAUGAUGUCCCCUGACGAACAGCGGCGCGGUGAUGACAGCGACAGCGACGACGAACGACGACAACUCGAUGUAUAAUUGAAUUGCACGCUAAAUGCAUCAGUGAUUAUUUUUACCUGUCAUUGGUCAUAUUUAGCGAGAGAAAAAUGUAAUGCAAUGAAAAAAGAACCAUCAAUGAAAUCCAAACCAAAGCGAAGAGGAAAUGAAUAAUAAACAAAAAUAAAAAUUCAUUGAACAAAAUUUAAUGCAAUUUUCUCUUUUUAUCUGUACCUACGCCAAUAUCAUCCGCAGUAGCAGUUGUCGCUGUCAGCGCUUCUUCACAACCACAAUAUGUUGACAGCUGAGCGCCAUCUAUACUGACUUUAUUCUUUCAACGUCAUUUUACAAUAAUAAUAAUGUUUAUGUACAUUUUAUCUAAAUAAAUAGUUUAAGUGCA